AGACCCGAAACCCGGUGAUCUAGCCAUGGGCAGGUUGAAGGUUGGGUAACACUAACUGGAGGACCGAACCGACUAAUGUUGAAAAAUUAGCGGAUGACCUGUGGCUGGGGGUGAAAGGCCAAUCAAACCGGGAGAUAGCUGGUUCUCCCCGAAAGCUAUUUAGGUAGCGCCUCGUGAAUUCAUCUCCGGGGGUAGAGCACUGUUUCGGCUAGGGGGCCAUCCCGGCUUACCAACCCGAUGCAAACUGCGAAUACCGGAGAAUGUUAUCACGGGAGACACACGGCGGGUGCUAACGUCCGUCGUGAAGAGGGAAACAACCCAGACCGCCAGCUAAGGUCCCAAAGUCAUGGUUAAGUGGGAAACGAUGUGGGAAGGCCCAGACAGCCAGGAUGUUGGCUUAGAAGCAGCCAUCAUUUAAAGAAAGCGUAAUAGCUCACUGGUCGAGUCGGCCUGCGCGGAAGAUGUAACGGGGCUAAACCAUGCACCGAAGCUGCGGCAGCGACGCUGAUGCGUUGUUGGGUAGGGGAGCGUUCUGUAAGCCUGCGAAGGUGACCUGUGAGGGUUGCUGGAGGUAUCAGAAGUGCGAAUGCUGACAUAAGUAACGAUAAAGCGGGUGAAAAGCCCGCUCGCCGGAAGACCAAGGGUUCCUGUCCAACGUUAAUCGGGGCAGGGUGAGUCGACCCCUAAGGCGAGGCCGAAAGGCGUAGUCGAUGGGAAACGGGUUAAUAUUCCCGUACUUGGUGUUACUGCGAAGGGGGGACGGAGAAGGCUAUGUUGGCCGGGCGACGGUUGUCCCGGUUUAAGCGUGUAGGUGUGUGUUCCAGGUAAAUCCGGUUCACUUUAACACUGAGGCGUGACGACGAGGCACUACGGUGCUGAAGCAACAAAUGCCCUGCUUCCAGGAAAAGCCUCUAAGCAUCAGGUAACAUCAAAUCGUACCCCAAACCGACACAGGUGGUCAGGUAGAGAAUACCAAGGCGCUUGAGAGAACUCGGGUGAAGGAACUAGGCAAAAUGGUGCCGUAACUUCGGGAGAAGGCACGCUGACACGUAGGUGAAGUGAUUUACUCAUGGAGCUGAAGUCAGUCGAAGAUACCAGCUGGCUGCAACUGUUUAUUAAAAACACAGCACUGUGCAAACACGAAAGUGGACGUAUACGGUGUGACGCCUGCCCGGUGCCGGAAGGUUAAUUGAUGGGGUCAGCGCAAGCGAAGCUCCUGAUCGAAGCCCCGGUAAACGGCGGCCGUAACUAUAACGGUCCUAAGGUAGCGAAAUUCCUUGUCGGGUAAGUUCCGACCUGCACGAAUGGCGUAAUGAUGGCCAGGCUGUCUCCACCCGAGACUCAGUGAAAUUGAACUCGCUGUGAAGAUGCAGUGUACCCGCGGCAAGACGGAAAGACCCCGUGAACCUUUACUAUAGCUUGACACUGAACAUUGAGCCUUGAUGUGUAGGAUAGGUGGGAGGCUUUGAAGUGUGGACGCCAGUCUGCAUGGAGCCGACCUUGAAAUACCACCCUUUAAUGUUUGAUGUUCUAACGUGGACCCGUUA
rnacentral:rRNA from 1 species